rnacentral:rRNA from 1 species
AACGAACGCUGGCGGCAUGCCUAACACAUGCAAGUCGAACGAGACCUUCGGGGUUCGUGGCGUACGGGAGCGUAACGCCUGGGAACCUGCCAUCACGUUCGGAAUAACCCCCAUAAAGGGGUGCUAAUACCGGAUACUGUCUCCGGUACCAAGUGUCAUUGUCUUUGGCGGGGGCCGCGUUGGAUUCGUUAGUGUGUAGGGUCAAAGCAUACCAAAGCGACGAUCUAAAGCUGGUCUGUGAGGAUGAGCAGACACACUGGGACGGAGACACAGCCCAGAAUCCUACGGGAGGCAGGAGUGGGGAAUAGUGGACAGUGGGCGGAAGGCUGAUCCAGCAAGGCCGCGAGAGUGAUGAAGGCCGUAGAGAUGGAAUGCGCUGUUACCCGAGAUGAAAAUGACAGUACCGGGAGAAUAAGCGCCGGCUAACUCCGUG